AAAGAUUAAAUGUACUAAUUCAUAUGUUUUCUUGUUUCUCCAGGUGACAAAAAGAUUUCAAAAACGGGCCUCUAGUUAUGAAAGUGUUUUUUUCCGCGUUCUGCGGCUCCUGAUCCUCUGCGCUCCGACGAUCUCCUUUCCAAUCCACUCCAGCAACUCGUCGUGCUUUGGCAGGUUCUUCUCGACAAUUAUGUCCCGAUUCAGUGCUGUAUUUUAUUCUUGACCUGCAUGUUAUCUGUUGACUGCUGCUAAUGUAUUUGCUGUGAACUCUGCAAUAAAAACUCUCAUUUCAUUGUCU